AUUGAACGCUGGCGGCAGGCUUAACACAUGCAAGUCGAGCGGAGAGAGGUAGCUUGCUACUGAUCUUAGCGGCGGACGGGUGAGUAAUGCUUAGGAAUCUGCCUAUUAGUGGGGGACAACAUUUCGAAAGGAAUGCUAAUACCGCAUACGUCCUACGGGAGAAAGCAGGGGAUCUUCGGACCUUGCGCUAAUAGAUGAGCCUAAGUCGGAUUAGCUAGUUGGUGGGGUAAAGGCCUACCAAGGCGACGAUCUGUAGCGGGUCUGAGAGGAUGAUCCGCCACACUGGGACUGAGACACGGCCCAGACUCCUACGGGAGGCAGCAGUGGGGAAUAUUGGACAAUGGGCGGAAGUCUGAUCCAGCCAUGACGCGUGUGUGAAGAAGGCCUUAUGGUUGUAAAGCACUUUAAGCGAGGAGGAGGCUACUGAGACUAAUACUCUUGGAUAGUGGACGUUACUCGCAGAAUAAGCACCGGCUAACUCUGUGCCAGCCGCCGCAGUAA
rnacentral:rRNA from 1 species